AUACUUACCUGGUGUCGGGAGCCAUGGUGAACAGGAAGGCCAGCUCCCCGAGCUAAGGCUUACCAUUGCACUAUGGGUUCGCUGAGGUUCGCCACUCCCCCCCAAAUAGGGGUAGUUGGGGCAUGCAAUUUUUGCGAUGGGGGAUCCGGCGUUCGCGCUGGUCCCCU